AGUCUAUCUAUUUAUACCGAGCAUCUGGCCCCUUCACCACCUCCAACUCCCAAAACACCUACAAUCACACACACAUACCCACAGAAACUUACCCUCAAACAAAGUCUCUCUUUCACAGACACAGGAUUAUACAAUCAACUUAGCUAAAACUAAAGCCAGAAAAACACAUGAAGCACAGAAAUUUUUCUUCUUUUCUUCUCUUAAUCCUAAUGAUUCUCCUGCUCGCCUCCUCACAGAUAGCUGCUCGUUAUCUAGCAAGCCAAGGAGGAGAAGGAAAGCUAAUCAAUGUUUAUGCUGUAGCAGAUGAAAGUUCUUUUCUGAACAUGGAAACCACAGAAUCUAUUGAGAAGUUGAUGGGGCUGGAAGAAUGUGAAAAUGGAGAGAGAGAGUGCUUUAACAGAAGGGUUCUUGCAGAGGCUCACCUGGACUAUAUCUAUACUCAGCAUUAUAAGGGGCCUUAGAAGUUAUAAACAGGCAACAGUUUUUGAAUUCAAGAAGUCAAUAUUGUGCUGUAUGUAGAAAAAUGUCUUAGGAUUCUGUGUCCUUGUUGCAGUCCUCUUCCAGGCGGAGUAUGUGAACUCCCACAGAUCUUGAAGCUUGGAGCUGAGAAGUUAUGAUGAUGGCAUCUAUGUUUAAGACAUAUUUUAGUAUCAGUCAUCAUUAGUAGACGUUUUACACAGUUUCAAUGAAGACAGCUGGGAAGUGGAGCCUGAGGACGCUAUAUCUCUUUGGCUUUUCUUUUUCCUUUUGCUGGAUAAUGGACACCAUUUGCUAGCAUGCGUCAUAAGAGGCAUCUGCGAAUUUCCAAGUACUUCAAUUCUGUGGGCGAUCAAGAAACGCCAAAUACCGGAUGCAGAUUUAGGAAUCGUGCAAUAUUUAUGUAAUUGUGGCCUAAAUAAUUUUAAUUUGUGCCCUUAAAAAAAAUAAUACUUAGUUUUUCAUUA